UGCUUGGUGGCCGAGUAGUUAAGGCGUUGGACCUCAGUUCCAAUGGACGGUAGGGCUCGUGGGUUCUAACCCCACCCGCGCUA
rnacentral:tRNA from 1 species